rnacentral:rRNA from 1 species
CCUACGGGAGACAGCAGUAGGGAAUUUUGCGCAAUGGGCGAAAGCCUGACGCAGCAACGCCGCGUGAUCGAGACGCCCUUCGGGGUGUAAAGAUCUGUCAGUGGGGACGAAACUUGACGGUAACCACAGUGGAAGCACACGCAAACUCCGUGCCAGCAGCCGCGGUAAUACGGGGGGGGCAAGCGGUGUCCGGGAUCAUUGGGCGUAAAGAGUUCGUAGGCGGCACGGAAAGUCUGGUGUUAAAGGCAGAGGCGCAACUUCUGUACGGCACUGUGUACUUGCGAGCUAGAAUGCGGUAGAGGUAAAGGGAAUUCCUGGUGUAGCGGUGAAAUGCUUAGAUAUCAGGAGGAACAUCGGUGGCGUAAGCGCUUUACUGGGCCGUAAUUGACGCUGAGGAACGAAAGCCAGGGUAGCAAAUGGGAUUAGAUACCCUUGUAGUC